rnacentral:lncRNA from 10 species
CGAGGGUUUUUUGUUUGUUUUUUGUUUGUUUUUGUUUUUAAUUUAAGGCAGAGUCUCACUCUGUUGCCCAGACUGGAGUGCAGUGGCACGAUCUCAGCUCACUGCAAUCUCUGCCUCCCAGGUUCAAGCAAUUCUCCUGCCUCAGCCGCCUGGGUGGCAUCCGCCACCAUGCCUGGCUCAUUUUUGUAUUUUUUUGUAGAGACGGGGUUUCACCAUGUUACCCAGGCUGGUCUUGAACUCCUGGCCUCAAGUGAUCCACCCACCUUGGCUUCCCAAAGUGCUGGGAUUAUAGAAAGAGACCUGAUAACUCUGAAAAAAAAAAAAAAAUUCAAAAUCAAACACUAAGCAAGGGAUCUAGAGUUG